AGGACGAACGCUGGCGGCGUGCUUAACACAUGCAAGUCGAGCGGAAAGGCCUUUCGGGGUACUCGAGCGGCGAACGGGUGAGUAACACGUGAGUAAUCUGCCCAUCGCUUCAGGAUAGCCAUCGGAAACGGUGAUUAAUACUGGAUAUGACAUUCCUUCGCAUGUUGGGGUGUGGAAAGUUUUUUCGGCGGUGGAUGUGCUCGCGGCCUAUCAGCUUGUUGGUGGGUAAUGGCCUACAAGGCUUUGACGGGUAGCCGGCUGGAGAGGGUGACCGGCCACACGUGGGACUGGAGACACGGCCCAGACCUCCGUACGGGAGCAGCGAGGUGGGAAUGUGGACAAGUGGGACGAAGCCUGAUCCAGCAACGCCGCGUGAGGAUGACGGUCCGUUCGGGUUACGUAACCUC
rnacentral:rRNA from 1 species